AUGGUGGAGCCGGUACCCGGCUGUAAGGCAAGCUGGGAUGCGCGGAGUAGCGGGUGGAAAGCUGGACUGGAGUUCUCACUCGGCCGCUGGGUGACUUCGGUGCACUAGGGAUAGUAACAGUACCACCUCGUAGGGUUGUAGAAAGACCAAGUGAGUUAAUAUUUGUAAAGUGUUUAGAACAGCGUCUACUGCAUGGAAAGUAGUAUUUAUUUGUUAGAGAGACUCCAGGAGGUCUUGCCCAGUGAUUGACUUCUCCCUUCCCUGUCUCCACCCCCCACAUUCCCGUUUGUGAGCCAAGCCUUGCUUUUGCACCGGCCGGGCUCUCUUGCCUGGAAAUGCAUACCCAUCUCAAACCUGGGCUUUAAAAUCACCUCCUCUGGGACGCCUUCCUCUACUUCUCACAGUUUAGGCCUGUUCUGCCCCACACAGCAGAAAAUGCCCACGAUGCAAUACCAGAGUCUGCAUGGGACCAUUUCAACAACCCUUAGAAGCUGACUCAGCUGUCUCCUGGCCCUGACUUUUCUAAGAUGAGAGGAGCUGAUAGGAACAAUUUGGGAACCCUCAAAGGCUGAGAGUAUCCCACCCACUUCACAGAUGAAGCAAACUGAGGCCCAGAGAAGGGAAAUUACUUGCCCAAGAUCACCCAGCAAGUAAGAAACAGAGCUGGAGAUGAGCUCAGGCCAGCACGGAACCACGCAAACUCCUUCUGUAGGCUUUAUAAACGGUUGAUGAGAAAAGCAGAUGGUUAAGAGCUCUACAACUUCUGUGAG